CAGCAGCCGCGGUAAUACGGAGGGUGCAAGCGUUAUCCGGAUUCACUGGGUUUAAAGGGUGCGCAGGCGGGCUGUUAAGUCAGUGGUGAAAUCUCCGGGCUCAACCCGGAAACUGCCUCUGAUACUAUCAGUCUUGAAUACUGUUGAGGUGGGCGGAAUAGGUCAUGUAGCGGUGAAAUGCAUAGAUAUGACCUGGAACCCCAAUUGCGAAGGCAGCUCACUAAGCAGAAUAUUGACGCUCAUGCACGAAAGCGUGGGGAUCAAACAGGAUUAGAUACCCUGGUAGUCCACGCCCUAAACG
rnacentral:rRNA from 1 species